rnacentral:rRNA from 1 species
UAAGCAUAUCAAUAAGCGGAGGAAAAGAAACCAACAGGGAUUGCCCCAGUAACGGCGAGUGAAGCGGCAACAGCUCAAAUUUGAAAUCUGGCCCCAGGCCCGAGUUGUAAUUUGCAGAGGAUGCUUUUGGCGCGGUGCCUUCCGAGUUCCCUGGAACGGGACGCCAUAGAGGGUGAGAGCCCCGUACGGUUGGACACCAAGCCUUUGUAAAGCUCCUUCGACGAGUCGAGUAGUUUGGGAAUGCUGCUCAAAAUGGGAGGUAUAUUUCUUCUAAAGCUAAAUAUAGGCCAGAGACCGAUAGCGCACAAGUAGAGUGAUCGAAAGAUGAAAAGCACUUUGAAAAGAGGGUUAAACAGCACGUGAAAUUGUUAAAAGGGAAGCGCUUGUGACCAGACUUGCGUCCGGUGAAUCACCCAGCUCUCGCGGCUGGGGCACUUCGCCGGCACAGGCCAGCAUCAGCUUGCCGUCGGGGACAAAAGCUUCAGGAACGUAGCUCUCUUCGGGGAGUGUUAUAGCCUGUUGCAUAAUACCCUUCGGCGGGCUGAGGUACGCGCUCCGCAAGGAUGCUGGCGUAAUGGUCAUCAGCGACCCGUCUUGAAACACGGACCAAGGAGUCAACCUUAUGUGCGAGUGUUUGGGUGUUAAACCCCUACGCGUAAUGAAAGUGAACGCAGGUGAGAGCUUCGGCGCAUCAUCGACCGAUCCUGAUGUUCUCGGAUGGAUUUGAGUAAGAGCAUAUAGGGUUGGACCCGAAAGAAGGUGAACUAUGCGUGUGUAGGGUGAAGCCAGAGGAAACUCUGGUGGAGGCUCGCAGCGGUUCUGACGUGCAAAUCGAUCGUCAAACAUGCGCAUGGGGGCGAAAGA